UAAUCAUCCAUCAUACGCAUAGAGAAACAAAACGUCGCCUGGUGCUUAGAAACUCGUUGUCGUUGGUCUCGUUCUAUGGGAAAAAUCAAUGCCUACCUGAAAUACGUCUCCCAUAAAUCAAAAGAAAAGAGUGCAAGUCUCAAAGAGUAAAGACUUAUUUGAAUUUAUUUUUUAAUCUGAUUAAGUUAUUAUGUAUCGGACAUCUCAUUUAUUGAAAUUUGGAUUUGUAUUUUUUGUAUCUGAA